AGCAGCCGCGGUAAUUCCAGCUCCAAUAGCGUAUAUUAAAGUUGUUGCAGUUAAAAGCUCGUAGUUGAAUUUCGGGGUUAGUAGGUUGGUCAUGCCUCUGGUAUGUACUGGUCUCACUGAUUCCUCCUUCCUGAUGAACCUUAAUGCCAUUAAUUUUGGUGUUUUGGGGAAUUUGGACUGUUACUUUGAAAAAAUUAGAGUGUUUAAAGCAGGCAUUUUUGCUUGAAUACAUUAGCAUGGAAUAAUAAAAUAGGACGGCAUGGUUCUAUUUUGUUGGUUUCUAGGACCACCGUAAUGAUUAAUAGGGAUAGUUGGGGGCAUUAGUAUUCAAUUGUCAGAGGUGAAAUUCUUGGAUUUAUUGAAGACUAACUACUGCGAAAGCAUUUGCCAAGGAUGUUUUUCAUAUUCAAGAACGAAAGUUAGGGGAUCGAAGACGAUCAGAUACCGUCGUAGUCUUAACCAUAAACUAUGCCGACUAGGAAUCAGACGAUGUUAAUUUUUUCAAUGACUC
rnacentral:misc_RNA from 1 species